rnacentral:misc_RNA from 1 species
GUAGGUGAACCUGCGGAAGGAUCAUUAACACGUAUCCACGUUAAUAACCCGAGAACUUCUUAGGAACGUCCAAUCUUUUAAGUUUCAUUCGUGAGACGAAAAAGUGAGGACCUCCUUUGAUAUUCAAACAGAAAAGAAGAACAUUUCUGAGAAAGACCCUUUUCACCCUUGGGUGUCAGGGGACCCUCUCUUAGUUUCGAUCUUUCGCUCUGUUUGGUUGCCUUUAUUGGGACAAAUCUUAGGAUGCGUCCCUUUAGAGGUUCAACUUGAAACCCCAUUUCUUUAACUUAAAGGCCGUCUCUUCGUAGACCGCUUUUAACCGAAUGCUGUACAACUCUUAGCAACGGAUAUCUUGGUUCUG